UUGGAUUAAAGUUUACUAGCUUUUCCCCUGAUUGGAAUGGGUCAUAGGUGCAACGAGCGCAUACAACUUGCUUGGCCAACAUGGCUAGAUCAUCCAAUGGUGCCGCAAUUGAGUUAUCUGAGGUAUCUUGAAUCCCAGCUUCAGAUACAUCUCCAGAUCCUUGAGUCUCUAAGCCUUGUUGAUUCCGAGUUUGAAGAAUCGAUCCUGAUGCUCUAAUGGAGUGUUCAAGUUAGAUAGGAUUUCCAGAGUGUUGCAGUCAACCAUACGAAAUUCACAGCACACCAUACCAAGAGGUGGCCAGAAUUAAGCAAUAGGAACUUGUGCCAAUACAGAUAAUUGUACCUGCCCAGAAACUGAAGCAGAAGGCAGCGGCAUUAUAGCAGCCCCUCCUCCAACUGGUGUAGUUGAUGUAGUUGUAGUUGUUGCAGGACCAUGUGGUGGGGUGUGCCUGCCACCAUCUCCUCCUCUAUAUGAAGAUUUCCAGAUCUACCGAAUAGGGUUUGAGGAUCAAAUGGACUGUGUAAUAUUGAAUUUGUUAAAUGUUUUAUGAUCAGAUAGGAAAACGAACUGGAGCAAUAAUCUGAUUAAAAAAAAAAAAUAGCAAAUUAAUCAUCAAGAUAGAAAGAAAACAAAAGUAUAAUACGUGUAGCUUGUAUAUAUAAAUGGAGUGACAACAAAAUAUCACAACUCAAAA